rnacentral:rRNA from 1 species
GUUAGGAAUCUUGGACAAUGGGCGCAAGCCUGAUCCAGCCAUGCCGCGUGAGUGAUGAAGGCCUUAGGGUUGUAAAGCUCUUUCAGCGGGGAAGAUAAUGACGGUACCCGCAGAAGAAGCCCCGGCUAACUUCGUGCCAGCAGCCGCGGUAAUACGAAGGGGGCUAGCGUUGCUCGGAAUCACUGGGCGUAAAGCGCACGUAGGCGGGUCUUUACGUCAGGGGUGAAAUCCUGGAGCUCAACUCCAGAACUGCCUUUGAUACUGAGGAUCUCGAGUCCGGGAGAGGUGAGUGGAACUCCGAGUGUAGAGGUGAAAUUCGUAGAUAUUCGGAAGAACACCAGUGGCGAAGGCGGCUCACUGGCCCGGUACUGACGCUGAUGUGCGAAAGCGUGGGGAGCAAACAGGAUUAGAUACCCGUGUAGUCC